CCAGACAUGUCGUGCUAAAAUUCAAAGCAGUGAACGCAUCUUUGGCGUGCUUGAUAUAGUCAUCGAACGUGACUUUAUUAAUUUGAGGGCUGGAUGUAUGACAAAGAGUGUUUCGUAAAAGACGAAGCUGAUCAAUGGCAAGUGCAAUCGUCUCAUUUGCAUCUCCGCUCGAGCUCCUCACGGUAGAGUGGAAUGGACCAGGGACUGGCUUUCGUCGUUUUAAAUACAUUUCUCCAAGCGUCUUUUUCUUUCCUGUGCUGUCUGGUAGCGCAAAUGUUCUUGCAUACAGAGUGGCUUGAAAUAGUGCAGUGCAGUCCCACUCUUUAAAUGAGUUGUUCGUGGGGAUUUUUGUGUUUGGAGCCUCAUUGCUGUAGAGUAUAUUGCGUACAAGAGGCGAGUCAUCCCAACUUGGUGCAACUCUGGUGUCCCACAUGUGUACAAAGAUGCUACGCAAAGCAUCUGGGAAUUCCUUUAGGACAAACGACGCAAACUUGAAGUAGUUCAGGUCUUUUUCACAAUACGGCUGCAUAGACAUAUUGGCUGACCUUC